rnacentral:rRNA from 1 species
AACGAACGCUGGCGGCAUGCCUAACACAUGCAAGUCGAACGAGACCUUCGGGUCUAGUGGCGCACGGGUGAGUAACGCGUGGGAACCUGCCCUUAGGUUCGGAAUAACUCCCCGAAAGGGGUGCUAAUACCGGAUAAUGUCUUCGGACCAAAGAUUUAUCGCCUUUGGAUGGGCCCGCGUUGGAGUAGCUAGUUGGUAGGGUAAAAGCCUACCAAGGCGACGAUCCAUAGCUGGUCUGAGAGGAUGAUCAGCCACACUGGGACUGAGACACGGCCCAGACUCCUACGGGAGGGAGCAGUGGGGAAUAUUGGAAAAUGGGCGAAGGACUGAUCCAGCAAUGCCGCGUGAGCGAUGAAGGCCUUAGGGUUGUAAAGCUCUUUUAACCGGGAUGAUAAUGACAGUACCGGGAGAAUAAGCUCCGGCUAACUCCGUG